UGUGAAUAAAAUUAGCUGUAAAUCACUGAGUAGUAGGCCUAUUUAAUUGUAUUUCAUCAGGAAAGUCAAAGAUACAGAAAAUUAGUAAAUUUUACUCAUUGAGAGAUUGUUGUUUUUAAAUCACCUUAGUUACAUUUCCACUCAAGGCAUUUCGCGCCACAUAGAUGGAACACACACAUUUCAUGGAAACUUUCCAAAAGAUCCAGGUGAUGCAUUUUACAGAAUCACAAUGGUGAAUCAAGUUAAUGGCCAAGCUAGCUGCUAGCUGCUACACCAAAGCUUCUGAAUCUCUUCCAAGCCAAGGGUGGAACCAUAGGGUUGAGGUUGCAGGCUAUCCUACUCAAGGCUCCAACCAAUCCUAACGCUAACUUGACCAGAGAUGUUGUCAUCAGUGUUUGGGGGAUCUUUAGAUCAUCUUCUAAAAAAGUAUGAUGAUGCUGAUGAAGAUAGUGUGCCACAGGAGCUUGCUGUACAAAAAAUGGAAAUCAACAGCAUCGAGACCAAUACAUCAGAGGUAUCCCAAU